CCUCCUUGCCUCCUCCCUCCCUCCCUUGUUUCCUUCAUCUCCUUGGUUUCCAUUACUUCUCCACUUAGAGCUUCAAGGGUGAGAAUCAUUGCGGAGCACUAUAGAGACGGUGAUCAAGCUGGGGAAGAGAUCAUCGUCGACAACUUGUCGGCAAACCUAGAGGACCACUUGAGAAGUGACUUUGGGUCUUCGCAUUGUGUCUUGGAGUAGAGUAUUUUCGAGGUUCUGAGGCCUUGCAGGCUUAUAGGGCUAACGCCCUGUGGGUCUGCGGUCGUUUGUACGUGCGUCGGGUCCGGCCGGGCCGAGUUAGGGCGUGACAAAAUCAAACGUACCCUCCAUCAAACCAGGCAGCUUAUGAAACACAAUGCAGGCAGCGAUAAGCAAGACAAAGAAUUUAAAUCAAUGGGUUUAGUCUAUGUCAAGCUGCAAACUUACCGACAAGUGACUGUCCAACGCCGAACCUCAAACAAGCUUUUCCAACAUUAUUUCAGGCCAUUCACAAUUAUUCGUCACAUCAGCAUAGUGGCUUAUUAGCUAGAUCUGCCAGAAUAGUCUUGAAUCCACUCGGUUUUCCAUGUCUCAAAACUUGGAGAAUGCAAAGGAACACCAUCUGACAAUGAGACAAAGUUGGCACUGGAGUCGCUUAACCGAGAACCUUUUACAAGUAAGAAGUGUUAAGAGAUCAGGGAAACUAAAGAAAGAAGCCUUGAUCAAAUGGUCUGGUCUUGGUGACGAGGAGUCAAGCUGGGGAGAGGAGUAUUGAUAUGGCCAAUGGGCCCGAUGAAAAAAAGAAGCCCAAAUGCAGCUUGAAGAAGCCCAAUUGAACUGAAGAUUAUGUUAUAUAAAACCUGUUUACUUAAUUCUGCAGAUUUUUAAUCUGCUUUUGAAUUGGUCAAUGAUGUCUAACCGUAAAC